CCUACGGGAGGCAGCAGUGGGGAAUUUUGGACAAUGGACGCAAGUCUGAUCCAGCCAUGCCGCGUGCGGGAAGAGGGCCUUCGGGUUGUAAACCGCUUUUGUCAGGGAAGAAAAGUUUGGGGCUAAUAACUCCGGACGAUGACGGUACCUGAAGAAUAAGCACCGGCUAACUACGUGCCAGCAGCCGCGGUAAUACGUAGGGUGCAAGCGUUAAUCGGAAUUACUGGGCGUAAAGCGUGCGCAGGCGGUUCUAUAAGACAGAUGUGAAAUCCCCGGGCUCAACCUGGGAACUGCAUUUGUGACUGUAGAGCUGGAGUACGGCAGAGGGGGAUGGAAUUCCGCGUGUAGCAGUGAAAUGCGUAGAUAUGCGGAGGAACACCGAUGGCGAAGGCAAUCCCCUGGGCCUGUACUGACGCUCAUGCACGAAAGCGUGGGGAGCAAACAGGAUUAGAUACCCUGGUAGUCCACGCCCUAAACGAUGUCAACUGGUUGUUGGGAAGGUUCCUUCUCAGUAACGUAGCUAACGCGUGAAGUUGACCGCCUGGGGAAUCGGCCGCAAGGUUGAACUUAAAGAUAUCGCGNGNGAGNGCGACGACGACGACGACGGAGGAGGAGG
rnacentral:rRNA from 1 species